rnacentral:rRNA from 1 species
AUUAUGAGAGUUUGAUCCUGGCUCAGGACGAACGCUGGCGGCGUGCCUAAUACAUGCAAGUCGAACGCUUCUUUCCUCCCGAGUGCUUGCACUCAAUUGGAAAGAGGAGUGGCGGACGGGUGAGUAACACGUGGGUAACCUACCCAUCAGAGGGGGAUAACACUUGGAAACAGGUGCUAAUACCGCAUAACAGUUUAUGCCGCAUGGCAUAAGAGUGAAAGGCGCUUUCUACGGGAGGCAGCAGUAGGGAAUCUUCGGCAAUGGACGAAAGUCUGACCGAGCAACGCCGCGUGAGUGAAGAAGGUUUUCGGAUCGUAAAACUCUGUUGUUAGAGAAGAACAAGGACGUUAGUAACUGAACGUCCCCUGACGGUAUCUAACCAGAAAGCCACGGCUAACUACGUGCCAGCAGCCGCGGUAAUACGUAGGUGGCAAGCGUUGUCCGGAUUUAUUGGGCGUAAAGCGAGCGCAGGCGGUUCCUUAAGUCUGAUGUGAAAGCCCCCGGCUCAACCGGGGAGGGUCAUUGGAAACUGGGGAACUUGAGUGCAGAAGAGGAGAGUGGAAUUCCAUGUGUAGCGGUGAAAUGCGUAGAUAUAUGGAGGAACACCAGUGGCGAAGGCGACUCUCUGGUCUGUAACUGACGCUGAGGCUCGAAAGCGUGGGUAGCAAACAGGAUUAGAUACCCUGGUAGUCCACGCCGUAAACGAUGAGUGCUAAGUGUUGGAGGGUUUCCGCCCUUCAGUGCUGCAGUUAACGCAUUAAGCACUCCGCCUGGGGAGUACGACCGCAAGGUUGAAACUCAAAGGAAUUGACGGGGACCCGCACAAGCGGUGGAGCAUGUGGUUUAAUU